GCUUGUCUGGCUCAGUAGGUAGAGCAGUUGACUCUUGAUCUUGGGUUGUGAGUUCAAGCCUCAUGUUGGGCA
rnacentral:tRNA from 1 species